GCUAAACGCUGGCGGCGUGUCUUAGCCAUGCAAGUCGAGCGGACUUAUGGGGUAACUUAUAAGUCAGCGGCGGACGGCGGAGUAACACGUAGCUAACCUACCCUCUGGACGGGGAUAACCUACCGAAAGGUGGGCUAAUACCCGAUGUAGUCAUCCUGUAUAGGGGUGAUGAAAGGUGGGCUUCUGUUUACAAGCUCAUGCUGGAGGAGGGGGCUGCGGCCUAUCAGGUAGUUGGUAGGGUAAUAGCCUACCAAGCCGAUGACGGGUAGCCGGCCUGAGAGGGUGACCGGCCCGAGGGGCACUGAGAUACGGGUCCCACUCCUACGGGAGGCAGCAGGCUAGAAAUUUGGGCAAUGGGGGAAACCCUGACCCAGUGACGCCGCGUGCAGGAAGGAGCCCUUCGGGGUGUAAACUGCUGUCGUGUAGGGAGAAGGGUACUAAGGUGAACAAUCUAGUACUUGACGGUACUACAGGAGGAAGCCCAGGCCUAACUCGUG
rnacentral:rRNA from 1 species